rnacentral:lncRNA from 1 species
UGUGGCGCCUGCCAUUGGCCAGGGGAGGCAGACGGCGCUCUGAUUGGCCGGGCCCGCGCCCGGGGAGCCCCGCAUUCUGCAGUGUCCGAAAGAUUCGAAACUCCAAAAGCUCCACUGCGUGCCUCUGGGAGGGGAGGGGGCGCGCCAGGAAAGGAGUGGAAAAAAGUGGGCGAGGAGGAGCGUUGAAAAUUUCCUGACAAGUAGUUUCCGUGCGCCCGAGAGCGUGUGAAUUGCUCCUAAUUACCGUGUCCGAUUCUCUUAAACUCAGGACGCGCAUCGGUCUGUCCGACCUUCCCGGCAAGAGACAAAGUCACUGCUGGGAGGCCCCCUCGGACAGUUUUCAGUUUUAACUUUCGCCUUAUUCUCGUCUUGUCUUGAUGUCACGGCCCUGAGGAACAGCUCGUUCUGCAGAAGAGAAUAAAGAAAAUUCGUUUAAAUAAUGAGGAAAAUGAGCGUUCCUGUCGUUCUCCCUCCACUCUUGACCGUGCGUCUCUGCGUUGCUCUUUCGAACCUCCAGGCCGGCGGGAAUCUGGGCGCGCAGACUCGGCCCGGGUCGUCGCGGCCUCAGGACGCAGCCCAUUCCGCCUGGCACGACUACUGGGCCGCGUCUUGUCAGUCUAUCAGCUUCUGAGCCCAGGAAUGGGGGUGGGGGAAGGACGGUGCGACUAACGGGCCCCCACCCGAAGACCGCAGAACCUGGCGCCCCGGAAGAGCCCUGGAAGAUGCCCACCGGGAGGCUGAGGCUGGAGGGAGGAGUGGGUGGGGGUGAUUCGCUGGAGGACCGGGCGGAGAGCUUCCAGAAAGUUCACCAGGCCCCGGCGCGAGGGCGCUCCGACACGGACAAGGUCUAUGAUAGCGAUAAAAAGCUGGUUACUCGCUCCCAGAAAAUGCCACUUGCUGGAGUCUGUGAAUGGGUUUAGGAGAGAGAAGGG